UGGGGGGAGGGUUCGGAAGGGAACACCCAUAACGAAGCGGAGGGGGGAGGGGGAUGUUUGCCCGGAAACCGGGAAAGGGAAUAACAUUCGAAAUGUAUAUAAGAAAUACUCAAGUUAAUAAAAAAAAAAAAGAAAAUAAUUUUGAUGACCCUGCCAUCAUCAGAGUUUUGUUGCUAGAGUUCAGGAAGGAAAGGAUUUUGGUCUUACCAGUUCUAGAAACCAAAAGGCUGCCUUGGUGUGGAGAAAAUUGAUGUUUUGCCUAGGAGGGUCCAGGAAUUAUUUUGUCUGUGUUAACUGUAAUUGUUAUAGCAUCACUAGCCCAGCAGUAAGCAUGGGAUUUUUUCGAAGCACCUAGAUGAGAAAGAAUGAAUGGAGUUGACCAACAAUACUGUUAAUGUCUAACCAUUUAAAGUCUCCAAAUAAUGUAAAAGUAUCCAUAAUAAUACUUGUAGACAGAAUGGGCAAGUAUCAAGGUAGAAUAUGUCUUAGUUGAAACAUACUUUUUCCUGUUUACUUUUCAAGUUCCAAUCUAUAGAACAUUGAGGUAACCAUGGUAAUAGCCCCAGAUAAUGUCAGUGAUAGAGCAGUCAUAGCACAGUGUAGGAAGUGAUCUUCUCUUUCCACAUGGAUGAUAAUAAGACUGGACCUAACUCUGUAUAAACAUACUUUUGUGGGUAUCCUGUUAAGGUAUUAGCUAGUAUUGAAGUGUGAGAUUAUCAUACUGAUUGAUAUAUUAGAUAUUUUUCACAAAUGUAUAUUUCGUGAAUAUUUUGGAGCACUCAUAUCUUCCUGUUUCUGGCUUGUAUGGUAAUAACAAUGAAAGUCUUCCUAAUAUUACAGGUAAGCAUUAGUUUUUAUUGUAUCUUUUCUGGGACUAAUAUGCAUUUAAUACUUGUGAUGAUAGAUACAUAAAGAAGGGUCUGAGUAACUCUUAGAGUAUCCAUCACUGAAAUAUUGAUUGUUUGAAUUUUUGGCAGUACAUUGGUAUUGAAUUUUACAAAUAUCCUUUCAAGACAGUAAAAAUUCUGAAUUACCUCAGAAUGCUGUCUGCAUAGGUCUACUGGUAGUGAAAUGUUGCCAUUGGAUCCUUAAGUGCUAAACCAACUACUGGGACAUGUAGGUGUUCCUCUAGAAUGAAGCCAGAAUCAUUUAGAAUCAAACAGGUUUGCCAUAAUGUAUUUAUUCCUACAUCACAAUGAACCAGGAAAUAAUAUCAACCUGAAUAUUAAUGAUAUUCAAGUAAAAGAAGAUUUAUACCAAAAAGCACAGCAUGGGAUACAUGAUCUUCAUAGAUAUUUAAGUGUGCAUUAAAGAAAUUCUUAACCCUUCUGGAACCAUGCUCAGAUAGGAAAAGAUGACGAAGUCUAACAAUUUUUACUAGUAAAAGGUUUAAUUUUUAAUACGGAAAAGAAGUAGAUGUUGAGUUUGAAUGUUGAGGGCUUGCUUGUAUCCUCUUUUGCUGGAAUUGUAAGAUUUAAUAAAAAUCAUGUUUCACUGGUAUUCAAUUAAGAAAGGACGGAUGUUCCUGGAAUUAUUGUUAAGCUCUAAUUAAUCCUAGGACUGCAGCAGAGUGAAAUAUCCUUUCGCAAUAAUUAAAAGGGUAGAAAUGGGGAGGGAAGUCCCAGUAGAACAAGCUGUAUCCUUAAACACACUUUCACUUAUAAUUUCAGAUUUGCCUCAAGAGAAAAAGUGGCCCAGAAAAAUGAUAACUAGAUAUUGGGAAUAACAAGAUAGAGUCUUCAUAUUUCAAUGAAUGUCGUCUGAUCUCCAAAUAAAUGAGAAGAAUGCACCUAUCCUAUUUUACCAUGAUUUUGUAUUUUUACAGCUACGCUAUUGAUAUCUUAACUGCUAUACACAUAAUAAGAUGAUACCAUACUAUUUUGGUCUUUUCUACCCAUAGAUAAAUAUUUGAUGUCAUUUCUAACACUCAUACAUCUCAUAGCAUGUAGGAAGUUAAAACAUUCACUAAUAUUAUUGAUAUCAUAAGAUUUUACUAUAGUCAUCAUUAUUAAAAAUUCAUAAUUAAGUCAAUAUAGUAGAGGCAUAAGAACAUUACAGAUAACUUUCAUAUUUGAAUGCUUGUGACAGUGACUGUUCACUUACAAUACAUUAUCUGCCAAAAGCAGAAAGGUUCUAUACAAGAUUCUGUGUAUGAUGGCAGGAACUGCUGAGAUAAUGAACAUAGAUGCUGUCCUGUUACAGGGUAUUAAAAGUAGAAGUAGAUUUUCACAAUUUGUUUUUCUCAGAUUGCCACAAAAUAAUUCAUCAAGGAGAGCAUUCAUAAUAUUAAAUCAAGUACUGAGUUUAAUGUAUUCAUAGAAUAGGUGAGUAAUUUCCAGAUUCGUUUCAGCUAAAUGACAAUUUUUGUAGUGCUUUUUGCAGGUAUGUCUCUGGUAGAUAUGCAGAUAGGAAACAAUGUUACCCAUAGUAAUGUUUAUAAAAGUUUACAUUUUAUGUGAUUGGAAAACGUUAUGCUGAAACUGAAUGUUGAGGCAUUGUGUCCUGUUUGUCAUUGCUUCUGGUCUUUGAGGCUCAUUGUAGGUCUGUGGUACUGGGGUGUACUCACUGAAUAAAGUGGGGACCCUCUUCACAACACAUUCACUUUGAAUUCAUUAAAAUAGCAAGGUAGAUUCGACAUGUUUCUCACCAGUCAUCAUACAAUAGGACUCUGACUUAUAAUAGCCCUGCCUGAGCCUCCAAACUAGCUUGGGUUAAAAUCCUGCAUAAGCAGGUACAGCUCAGAUCUCCUUAUAGGUUCUGCAAGUGUGUUACUCACUUUCCUUGCUUCCUUGGACCCCAGCCUUUGUGAUGGUGCCAGCCACAUUCCCUUCUAGAUUGAACCUCUAGAAACUCCUCAAAAGAUAUAGGUCUUCUAGGUGAUUUCAAAUCCUAUUAGUUUGACAAUGAAAAUACCACUCAGAAGAGGAAGGGAAUACAAGGUCUUAUGCAGUGCAGGUCACCUGAUCGUCAUUAUUCAGGAGAGGAGGUGAGGCCUCUGUGCCUAAGGUGAGUUUGUUAUGCAUUGUUUUUAGGUAGUGUUUUACCCCCUUGGACAAUAUGCAAAUGUGUUUAAUAUAGUCAUAAGAAAUCUGCCUCAUUUUUUGCAUUAUACUUUCAUACACUGGUAUAUGCUGGCUGACAGAUAAUGUGAACUCGUUAUUCACUAUGAUAGAGUCAUUAGCAAGAUUCCAUGAAAUUUUUAUUGUGUGCCAUCAAGAGUAGAACUGUAGAUAUCUUCUCAAUGGAGUACAAAUUCUACAAAUUGUCUAUGGCUGUUUACAAAUAUCCAGAUGGAGUAAGUAGAUGGAUCUUGAAUUCAUGUCGCAACUUGAAGACAUUUAACAUGUCUUCAUUUAACAUUUAACAGGCAGACUGACUUAGGUUAUAAACUGGUUGUCCUGUAUGCUUUUCUCUGAGACAAGACCUCAGAGUGCAUCAAAGAAAUUGUCACAAUUACAGGUGUUCCUGUCUGGUAAGCGCCAGUAUGAUCCUGAAUCCUGAAUUUAAAAACAUCAUGUUCAUCUACAUAGUGGGUGCUGAUGGCAAUAAGCCAGCUCUUCUUUUCUUUACGUUUUUGUCUUUUAUUUGAUUUCUGUUUUUUUGUUUGUUUGAGGCAGGGUCUCAUUCACUCCAGGCUGGUGUUGAACUUGCUAUGUAAUUCAAGAUAACUUCUUUUCCUCCAAGUACUAGGCCAACAGGUGGAUAGCACCACUCUCAGCAAACACAGCUCCUCGGUGUCCGUUGUUGCAGCGGCUCAGGUUAGAAUAUUAGAAUACUUAAUAAAUCUUGAGAAAAUAGAUUAGUAUGAUUUAUAUAAAACUAAAUGUGGAAGAUUUGAUCGUGCCAUGGUUCACUGACAUUGUUUUUGAAUGGUCAGUACUAAUCAUAAUGUACUUUUAGAUUUCAGGUCAAGAAAGGAUUGCUGCUGUUGAAUUGUGGUCAAAUUAUAAGCCAUCCAAGUAUCCAGGAAGAGGUUGCUUGAUAAUAGUGAUGGGAAAAGAAGUGUUCAGGAAUUUGGCACAACAAGGUGUUUCCUGAUAACAUAUUUUUCUGACUUUGGUGUUCAUGUUUUCUUUAAGAGAGCAUAAUGAUCACAAUAUGUUGUUGACAUAUCCCUCCUUGUUAAUUAUUUAGGAAAUAAUAAAGUGGACAUACCACACUGUAGAUCAUGCAAUCUUCUCUAUCUAGGUCAAUUAGGAAUUGUGUGUGAUUUAGUAUCACUACAUUUUGUGGGGGUAGUGCUAGUAUGAUUUUGGGUAGCAUAUGGCAGUGCUUGAAAAAUCACUAAGGCUUAAUUUUCCAGUGUACAUGCGGAAUUUCUCCAAUCACUCUUACAUUUCCUUCUCCUUUUCACAUAUAUGCGGUUAAAACAUGAACCUGACCAUAACAACGAAAGCUUCAUGUUCUUAUAUCUUUCCAACGGGUAAUAUCUAUCUUUACCUAUGUAAGGACAGAAGUGCAUACACGAACUCAAAUAAUGUUCACAGCAUGAAUCAUGGUGACAAAGCCCAUUGUGUUUUAGUGGGUAUUGUUUUAAGAGUUCCAAAGUUCUUGUAUGAAGGAUGACUCUAAUCCUUGAAAUUCUGUAAGUCUCCAAGAAUUGUGAAUGGAUGUGAUGAUAUUUAGACUCACAUAUACUAUGUAGAGUAUUCAGAGUGUAUCUUUUAAAGAGAGGUCAAGGGAUAAUAACCAUAAAGACAAUAUUAUUCUAUAGAGCCUUGCUAAUUAUCCUAGUUACAAUAAAGUGGUGAUGUUGUCCCUUAUUCUUUAUGUUGCUAUGCUGUGUUAUUGCUGUUCAGGUAGGGAAUGAGAAAGCUGUAUUGGAAAUAUAUCUGUUGAGGAGUACUCUAUGUCAUGAUUAACUGUCAAUGUUGUAAAAGUACCAGUGUAGUGACAAGCAUUGAAUGUGUUGCAGAUAUACACUUAGGAAACGAUGUACUCUCCUGAUCAUUAAUACAACUAAAAUAUUGGCCAUAAAUUCAAAUAUCCAAGUAGAAGUAAAGUAAGGUAUGCCAUGACAUGGGUAGUGGAGAAGACAAUGAUCUGGUAUUCUUAUAGAGAAAGCUGUGGCCUUAAAUACAUUUGGGUGUAAUAAAACAGCUUCCCUACAAGAGAACAUAGUUGCUCUGAAAAAAAAUCUUCCUAGAGGAACCUUGUUAAUAAUACUUGAUAAGUUUGUCAGAUACAAUGAAGAUAAUCUUAACUUCAUAUCCAUGUCUCUGUGGAGGUGGUUGCUAAUGCCAAGAUACCAUGUUUCUUUGCAGUCUCCUGUCAAGGUUCUGGCUAGUGUACAGGAAUAAGAAGAUAUUCUAUUCAUUCAUCAAAAAAACUUCAUAUUUUUGAAUGGAUGUUGAUGAGUACUGUGGGGAUUUUCCCAUGUCUCCUUCAUUAUUGGGAGACCCCAAUGCAUCUCUCUGAUUUUAUAUGAAAGUAUCUGCUUGUAUUAUAUCCUUGUUGAUAAGUCAUGUGCAUUUGAUAUACACAGUGAUAAAGAUAUAAGCAAGGAUUUUGGUAACUUUAAUAGCACAUAUCCUUGAUAUAUUCACCAUGGAAUUUUGGUAUAGCCCAUCAAGAGACUAAUUCUGUUGUGAUGUUUUAUUUGAGUAGAAUGUAAAUAUCCUGGCAUUAUAGGUGUAUCCUGAAAUGUACUGGUAAUAUGGGGAUUUACAGUUGUACAUAAAGGAAAAGGAAUAUGCUGUAUAAUUUUCCAUGUACUUUUCAGAGAUGGCCAAACUAGAUCAUUAAGUAACACAUUACUGGCAUCAAGGGAGUGUUGAAAAUGCCAUAUUAAUAACAUAGAUACAUUUAAUUUUUAUAGCUAAGUAUAGUUGAUGUUCCAGAAACCUUUGGUAAGUGUACAUUUGUGGUAGGUACUCAGGCACAAAUGUAUGUUGUUCUUAGCAAUUCCAUUAAGGAUAAAUUUAUAGGGUAAAGAAAUAUUGACUCUAAGUCUAGCAUAUUUACCAGGAACCAAGUACCAGCUACUAAGAGAUGAUAUACAGUCCUGAAAAUACAUACACCUCAAAGCUAUUCAAGUAUCUAGCUAGAGUCAAAGAUUUUUGCAACAAUGGUAGUGGUUAAGGUUGUAGACAGGGUCUUGGUAAUUUGUAACAAAGAACACAUUUGUAUAUGUUUUAUUUUUCUUUAUUUUUGUGGAGAGGAGUUAUGUGGCUUAAAUUUAGUGUUUUCCAUAUAGCAGGUAAGUACUCUACCACUGAGCUGUAUCCUGAGUUCUCAAUUUUCUAUUUUUUGUUCUGAAAAGGGAUCUCUCUAUACUAACCAGGCUAGCCUGGGAGCCCAGAUAGUCCCUGGGUUUCUUUUCUUCCUGUCCAGCCUCCCAAAUAGCUGUGAUCUAGUCUGCAUGUCAGUCUUAGCUCAUGUUUUCUUACAUUUUCAAAGAGAUCACUAAGAAAUUGUUGCCCAAACAUUUCUCAUAACAAAGCAAAUGAGAAAGCUGUCAUACCACAGUAUAGCUGAAGAAUAAUAUCCAGAUACAGAACAAAAGUGUGUUUAGACCAGUAAUUUUAUGUUUCUUUUUUUUUAAGGUGGCCCGUUCCAUGUCCGUUAUGGACAGGUAUGAGGUGGGACUAUUCAUAUUAGACAGUCUCAUAUUUUUUAAUGUGAUCAUAAUUACUUAAGGCUAACUAAUAUUUCUGCAACAUGGUAUAUAUGUUCAUAAUGUCCUAACUCCUUAUACACAUCAAAUUUCAUCAUAUGUUUGCUGGCAGACUAUAUCUGUGUUAAAUGUUCACAGUAAUAGAUUAAUAAUUGGGGUUCUAUGUAUUUUUCCUUGUGUCUAUAACUUUGAUAUUUAUGGUGGAAUUUUUAAAAUUGAUACUCAGAAGAUCAAGAGUUUCCUACUAAAGUUCUUUCCAUAGUUAUCCACAAGAAUUUAUAUAAGUUAUAUGGAUCCCAAAGUGAUGAAAUAGAUUUAGAAUUUUUAUAUGAGGGUUGGGGAUUUGGCUCAGUGGUAGACCGCUUGCCUAGCAAGCACAAGGCCGUGGGUUCGGUCCCCAGCUCCGAAAAAAAGAAAAAAAGAAAAAAAAGAAAAAGAAAAAGAAUUUUUAUAUGCAGAGAGAGAGUGAAACAUGUUACCAAUUAAUUUUCUUCCAUGUGUUUCUGAGAUAUAUUAUAUCACAGUGCCUCAAAGAAAUCUUCAACUGUACCAUUGUUCUUAUUUGGGUAGGUUUCGGUAUGAUCCUGAAUCAUUGCACAGGACAUCUGGACUCAUUUCCAUAGCUACAUGGUGAUGAUGCGCCUAACUCUGCUUGUUUCCUUGCUAAAGAGCAAUCUUUACUUCAUGGUACUGACCUUCCAAUUCUGAAAAUCUUCAAGUAUCAUAAUUGGGGAAUGAUAUAUCUUUCUAAGACUGGUCAAAGGGUUACACAGAUUCAAAUAGCUAUGGGAGAGAGUAGGGAUGGCAAUCAGGUGAGUGCUGAAGAAGACCGCGUUCAAGACCCAUGGUGUCUGAUCUUCUUGUACACAAGUGGUGGUGAUGUACAUGUUAAGGGACUGGAUGAAUUUUGAUUAGUCAGCACAGUUGCAGAAUUGCCAGUAAUGAUAUUAAACAACAAAAUUGCAGGUUUCCACUCAGGAAAGGAUGCAGUUAACAUGCAAAAAUGUGAAGUUAAGUGUCCUGUAGCAGUGAUCAAAAAGCUUUCCUGGUAAACUCAGACACAUUGUUGGUCUUUGGUAACAAAUUUCCUAUAAAUGAACAUAGUAGAACCAGAAAUAUUCUUGACAAAAUCUUACCAAUAAGCAGUUGCAUGUCGAGGUGGUCAAACCACAGUACAGACUAUCGUAUCUUCACUUCUAUAUCCACCGAGGAAACUCCCGAAUUCUGUGUUGCUGUAGAUCUUUGAAACAUAGUUUUAGAAGUAAAGCAAGUCCAUGAAGUAAAGUCUGGAAUUGACAUUAUGCUCCACUAACUGACCAGGAACCUUCAUCCCUUCCUUCCCCCAAGGUUUGCAUCAUGGUGUUUGUCACAGCAAUGGAAAGCAAACUAGAACACAGGCCUUACUACUGCAAAUAUUUUGGUGCCCCAGAUAAAUUCAGAAAUAAUACAAUGAUUUGAACAUUUAUAACUCUACGUGAAAGACAAGAAAAUGACUAAAUAGUUGUGUCAGGAUAUAUAUUUCCUGACUUUCAGAGGAAGUCCGGACUGCAAUGACCAAAAAGGAUCAUCAAGAGGAAUGUUGCUGGUGUUGAGGGAAAUGCUGAUGUUAAGAGAAUUACAGGGAAAGUCAUCUGCUUUGUGUAGCAUGCAUUUGUGGCUGAUUGUCAUGUUUGAAAUGAUUUUGUCCUUUGCGGUCUGACAGAAGACAAAUUUACCUGAUUUCUAGGGUACAGAUAUUUUAUGCUGAAUCUGUGUAUUUUUUCUAUCAUUAUUAAUCUUGAACAUAGGACUAAGCCUAGCAUAUUUUGUAAGUGCUUUGUCCAAAAAGCAUGUCCUCUAAAAAUGCAUUACUGUUGAAUUGCUUCACAUCCAGUUGGAGUUAAACAAUGGAGGUGGACAAGGUAAUAUCAGGCAUCCUGGCAGGGAAAUUAUAUCCAGAAAUACAUUUGUUCGUGUUUUCUUUUCUUCGGUGUGUGGGAGUGGCAGGGAUUGAACACGAGCCUGGCAUAAGUACUGAUGAUGCUCUAGUUCUAAAUUCUAUGCCCACACUUUUCCUUUUUAUCAUUUCUUUUUCAGUGAGUGUCUUACUCAGUUACCCAGGAUGCUGUUGGACUGGUCCUGUAACCAAGGCAGGCUUUGAACAUAAAGUUUGUGAACAUGAGUCUCAUAAAUAGCUGAACUGAUAAAGUUGCCUUACAAGGAGCUGCUUAUGGUUUCUCACAGGCAGACAACUUGAUCACUAACAUUCAGAUAGAGGAGCCACGUGUGCCUAGCCCAGCCCAUGGUUUAUCCACAGAGACAGGUCAAAACUUCAAGGUGUCUCAAAGAGAUCUUCAAGAACAAAAUUCUCCUUAUCUGGGUGAGUUCCAGAAUGAUUCUGACUCGGACAGGAGAUGAUGAUAAUGCUACUCUGAUUUUCUUACCCACAUUUUUCGUAU